GACGAACGCUGGCGGCGUGCUUAACACAUGCAAGUCGAGCGGUAAGGCCCUUUCGGGGGUACACGAGCGGCGAACGGGUGAGUAACACGUGGGUGACCUGCCCUUAGCUCUGGGAUAAGCCUGGGAAACUGGGUCUAAUACCGGAUAUGACUCCAUGACGCAUGUUGUGGGGUGGAAAGCCUUGUGCGGCUAGGGAUGGGCCUGCGGCCUAUCAGCUUGUUGGUGGGGUGAUGGCCUACCAAGGCGACGACGGGGUAGCCGGCCUGAGAGGGCGACCGGCCACACUGGGACUGAGACACGGCCCAGACUCCUACGGGAGGCGAGCAGUGGGGAAUCUUGCGCAAUGGGCGAAAGCCUGACGCAGCGACGCCGC
rnacentral:rRNA from 1 species